AAGGUCGNAACAAUGGUUUCCGUAUAGUGAACCUGUGGAAGGAUCAUUACAGAAAGUAAACGCGGAUUACACCGCGAACUUCUAAACCUUUGACGAUUGACUCAUGUUGCCUCGGCGGGUUCUCCCGCCAGAGGAUACAUUAAAACUCCUGUAUUUAACGGUGUUGUCUGAGCUACAAGCAACGAAUCAAAACUUUCAACAACGGAUCUCUUGGUUCUGGCAUCGAUGAAGAACGCAGCGAAAUGCGAUAAGUAGUAUGAAUUGCAGAAUUCAGUGAAUCAUCGAAUCUUUGAACGCACAUUGCGCCUCCCGUUACGGGGAGGCAUGCCUGUCUGAGCGUCGUUUAAACCCAUAUGCCCGUGCGUGUGUUGGGCCCUCGCUGGCGACGGCGUGGCCUCGAAGCGAUCGGCUAGGGAGCGGACCAAGUCCCCUGGGAUGAACCGCCCUCGGCCCUCGAACUCGAUUGAGAUCAAGACCUCAGAUCAGGUAGGACCACCGCCUGAACUUAA
rnacentral:rRNA from 1 species